rnacentral:rRNA from 1 species
CCUACGGGAGGCAGCAGUAGGGAAUCUUCGGCAAUGGACGAAAGUCUGACCGAGCAACGCCGCGUGAGUGAAGAAGGUUUUCGGAUCGUAAAACUCUGUUGUUAGAGAAGAACAAGGACGUUAGUAACUGAACGUCCCCUGACGGUAUCUAACCAGAAAGCCACGGCUAACUACGUGCCAGCAGCCGCGGUAAUACGUAGGUGGCAAGCGUUGUCCGGAUUUAUUGGGCGUAAAGCGAGCGCAGGCGGUUUCUUAAGUCUGAUGUGGAAGCCCCCGGCUCAACCGGGGAGGGUCAUUGGAAACUGGAAGACUUGAGUGCAGAAGAGGAGAGUGAAAUUCCAUGUGUAGCGGUGAAAUGCGUAGAUAUAUGGAGGAAUACCAGUGGCGAAGGCGGCUCUCUGGUCUGUGACUGACGCUGAGGCUCGAAAGCGUGGGGAGCAAACAGGAUUAGAUACCCCAGUAGUC